GAUGCAGAGAAAAAGAACUUUCAACUUUUAGGAUUGUGUGAUGCAGAUUUUGAAUUUGUGCGGGGGAAACAUCAGAACCCAGAUCCAAACAGCACGCAGCAUGUGCCUGAUUCAUGAAGGAGGCUGUCCUUGUUAGCUUGUCAUCCUGUUGUAACCUUGAGGCCAGUGAUGUGACUGGAAUGUGAAUUCACCAUAAAAGGCCUGACUCCACCCGAGGACUUCCUGCUUCAGCGAGAGGCUCAGGAAAUCUUGGCAGACUUUGACAGACAGCUGGCUCAGCCAAUGACAAACUUGGAGGACGUUUAACACACGCCUGCAGCGUCCCCUGGACAGAUGUACGUGGGUGUGCACAUCACAAAGACGUGCGUGUGAACCCGGAUGAGCGUCAGUGCUGUUUGGUGCCCUGUGAGAAGAGGACGUCCCCCCCCUCCCUGUUAAAGAGGCAGGCUGCUUUCAGUUGUCGCAGAUCGAAUCCAGUCGUCACGUGACAGCUGGACUUGCUCCUGAUUGGUCCCCGUGAUAAAGAAAAACUGAGACCUUCCACAUCAGCCAUGGAUGUCGUCUCCUCGUUGGUCUGCCGUCUCCUCCUCCUCUUCGUUGUCCUCCUGUCCUCCGUCCCCUCCUGUUCCUCCUCCAUGCUGUGUCCAAAGCGGUGCACCUGCCAGAACUUGCUGCCGUCUUACACGGUGCUGUGUGCCAAGACGGGCCUCCUCUUUGUCCCGCCCAACAUCGACCGCCAAACGGCCGAGCUCAGGCUGAUGGACAACUUCAUCACAACACUAAGACACCGAGACUUCGCCAACAUGUCCAGCCUGAUCCACCUGACCCUGAGCAGAAACACCAUCAGUCAGAUCCGGCCCUACGCCUUCGCUGACCUACAGGAUCUCCACGCCCUCCACCUGGAUGCCAACCGCCUCACCACCCUGGACGACUCCCACUUCCAGGGCCUGGUGAACCUGAGGCACCUCAUCCUGGCCAACAACCAGCUGCACAGUAUAUCAGAGGGAGCCUUUCAGGACUUCCUGGAGACCCUGGAGGACUUGGAUCUCAGCUACAACAACCUGGUGGACAUCCCUUGGGAGACCAUUGCCCUGCUGAUCAGUGUCAACACCCUGAGCCUGGAUCACAACCUCAUAGAGAGUGUCCCUGAGGGAAUCUUCUCCAACCUGCACAAACUGGCCAGACUCGACAUGACAUCCAACAAACUGAAGAAGAUUCCACCAGACCCGCUGUUCCUGCGGAUCCCAGUGUAUGCUAAGAUGAAGGGCUCUCCUCUCACCGCUCUGGUGCUGAGUUUUGGCGGGAACCCUCUGCACUGUAACUGUGAACUGGUCUGGCUUCGCAGACUGACCAGGGAGGAUGACCUGGAGACAUGUGCUUCACCUAAAGACCUGGCCGGCAAAUACUUCUGGACCAUUAGAGAGGAGGAAUUCGUUUGUGAGCCACCGAUGAUAACUCGUCACACCUCCAAGAUGUUUGUGAUGGAGGGUCAGGAGGUCAGCCUGCGCUGUAAGUCCAUCGGAGACCCCGAACCUUCGACACACUGGGUUAGCCCUGAUGGGAAGCUGAUCGGAAACACGUCCAGAACCAUUUGCUACGAGAAUGGUUCACUGGACAUCCUCAAGGCGUCCGUCAAGGAUUCUGGAAAGUUCACAUGCAUCGCGUCUAACGCAGCUGGGGAGGCCACUGCUCCUGUUGAGUUAGUCGUCAACCCGUCUCCGCACUUUGACCCCAAACUGGACCCUGACCCAGGGCCUUCAGACAUCCCCACCUCCAUCAAAUCCAACAUCAGCGGAGGCCAGGCUCGGUCUGACCAGCAGAGGGUCAGUGUGUCCGAUCUGACGUCCAGCUCUGCUACCAUCAGAUGGCCCCCGCAGAACCACAUACCUGGAGUCCGCAUGUACCAGAUCCAGUACAACAGCUCCACAGACGAUAUACUCAUAUACAGGAUGAUCCCAGCCAACCACAAAUACUUCCUGCUGAGCGACCUGGCGUCGUCGCGGGACUACGAGCUGUGUGUUUUGGCCGUGUACGAUGAUGGUAUCACCGCCCUGACGGGCACCAAGCUGGUGGGCUGCGUGUCCUUCACCACAGAGACAGAGUAUGGACGAUGCCACUCUAUACGAGACCAGUUCCUGGGUGGAACCAUGAUCAUCAUCAUUGGGGGAAUCAUCGUGGCCUCUGUCCUUGUCUUCAUCUUCAUCCUUCUGAUGAAGUACAAGCUGCACAGUAACCACUACAAACAGAAAGCCGCAGCACGCCACGCCAACGUCUGCUCGCAGACCAACGGAGGAGGGGGAGGGGCGGCCAGUGUCCUUGCUCUGCCUCCGUCCUCCUCCUCUGCAGGACAAGGUGGAGGUGCUAGUAAAAACUCCCAACCGUCAGCAUCAGCAGAGGGGAUGGGAGGGGCUUCUCUUCGAGGGACAACUGUAGUGGACUUAAAUCCUGGCCAUGAAGACGACGCCAUCUCCCAAUAACACACGAGAAACUGUCAGUCAAACCCUCAACCCACCAAUCUUUAAGCCUAAACCAAUACUCCACCUCCCUCCCCCCUCUUUUGAUUUGUUGCUGGUGCCUGGAGCCAAACUCCACGUUCCACUGAGGAGCGGCUCCUGUCAUUGGUGAGUAGCUGGUGGGAAGGACAAGCGUUCAGUCAACAUGAGACGGUGCAGACAGACCGUCCACAGACAGACAUCCACAGACAGACCGUCCACAGACAGACUGUCCACAGACAGACUCUGUGCUGGAUCCCACCACAGCCUGUGUCCUCAGCAGCACGCUUUCCUGUGAUAACACACACACACACUUCUGCCUGGCUGUGUGUCAUAUAACACAACAUGGAUGUGCACGUUAGCUAAGCUAAGCUAAGCUAAGCUAAGAAACUUUCAGAGUUCAGAUUUCCCCGAUUUUACCCGUCAGCGUGAGAAGUCACGAAGAUGCUGUGAAGCUCCUCCCAGAGACAGUGCUGUCUGUCACACUGUCCCUUCACAGGACAGGUGUGUUCACAGGUGUUUGUGAGAUUUUCUUACAUUCAGCUUCACAGUGCUGGAGGGAGAAGAGGCGGGAGAGGUGCGUCAGAGGGUUGCGUGGUCACGUCCGUGGAGUUCGCUGCAGUGACCGGGUACUGAACCCAGAGACACACCCAACCCUCUGAUGCCACCUCACACCAGCACCGAAGGUUCCCGGUUCAGAGGGAUGUGAUGUGCACGGCCGUCCUGCUGAUGCUGUGGGACACAGGUCAGCCUCUGGAUUUUAAACCCUGCUCAUGUUUGGUUCUUAUCUGGGGCUCGAACCCGCGGAUCAGAGGAAUCCGAGCGAACGCGGUCCAGAAUCGCUUCUUCUUUUCUGAGGGAAGCAUCCAGUGAUCUGACGGGGCAGCAGAAGGUGCUGGGUGGAUCUGGUCUCUGCGUUUGACAUUCUGCUCUGGGAAUAUUCUGAACGGAUUACUGUGGAUCUGGGAAAAACCCAUUUAAUGACAUUUUUCCAGGAUGUUCUCAGUUGUGGUUUGUCAAAGGUUGGUGGCACCGUCCUUCUCUCUCCCCAGCAUACAGUCAUAUGCCAAAGGAUUACUGCAGUAUUAGGACAGCAUUACUACAGUUUCGGGGAGUGUGCAGACUUCCCACAGCACACCUCUCUGUUAUCUCUCAGCCGUCAGAGAGAAAACACAUGUUGGGCCUUGGAUUGAAAAUACGAGCACACUGUCAACAUCUCGUCUCAAAGCAUCAGUAAGAACAAACUGUCAAACUAAACCAACUUCUCUGGCACUUUAAUCAUACGUUUUCAUUUCACCUCUUCCCCCUCCUUCUCUCUCUCUCUCUCUCUGUCUCCUCUCUCUCUCUCUCUCUCUCUCCCUCUCUCUCUCUCUCUCUCUCUCUCUCUC